rnacentral:rRNA from 1 species
UACGUAGGUGGCAAGCGUUGUCCGGAAUUAUUGGGCGUAAAGCGCGCGCAGGCGGUUCCUUAAGUCUGAUGUGAAAGCCCCCGGCUCAACCGGGGAGGGCCAUUGGAAACUGGGAGGCUUGAGUAUAGGAGAGAAGAGUGGAAUUCCACGUGUAGCGGUGAAAUGCGUAGAGAUGUGGAGGAACACCAGUGGCGAAGGCGACUCUUUGGCCUAUAACUGACGCUGAGGCGCGAAAGCGUGGGGGAGCAAACAGG